rnacentral:rRNA from 1 species
GAUGAACGCUGGCGGCGUGCCUAAUACAUGCAAGUCGAGCGAAUGGAUUAAGAGCUUGCUCUUAUGAAGUUAGCGGCGGACGGGUGAGUAACACGUGGGUAACCUGCCCAUAAGACUGGGAUAACUCCGGGAAACCGGGGCUAAUACCGGAUAACAUUUUGAACCGCAUGGUUCGAAAUUGAAAGGCGGCUUCGGCUGUCACUUAUGGAUGGACCCGCGUCGCAUUAGCUAGUUGGUGAGGUAACGGCUCACCAAGGCAACGAUGCGUAGCCGACAUGGGAGGGUGAUCGGCCACACUGGGACUGAGACACGGCCCAGACUCCUACGGGAGGCAGCAGUAGGGAAUCUUCCGCAAUGGACGAAAGUCUGACGGAGCAACGCCGCGUGAAUGAUGAAGGCUUUCGGGUCGUAAAACUCUGUUGUUAGGGAAGAACAAGUGCUAGUUGAAUAAGCUGGCACCUUGACGGUACCUAACCAGAAAGCCACGGCUAACUACGUGCCAGCCGCCGCGGUAA